rnacentral:tRNA from 1 species
AGCUUUGAGGUGAUUAUUCAUAUUGAAUUGCAAAUUCAAAGGAGCAGCUUCAAACCUGUUGGGGCUU